rnacentral:misc_RNA from 1 species
GAUGAAGAACGCAGUGAAAUGCGAUAAGUAAUGUGAAUUGCAGAAUUCAGUGAAUCAUCGAAUCUUUGAACGCACAUUGCGCCCGUCAGUAUUCUGGCGGGCAUGCCUGUUCGAGCGUCAUUACGCCCCUCAAGUCCCCUGUGGACUUGGUGUUGGGGAUCGGCGAGACUGGUUUUCCAGCACAGCCGUCCCUUAAAUUAAUUGGCGGUCUCGCCGUGGCCCUCCUCUGCGCAGUAGUAAAACACUCGCAACAGGAGCCCGGCGCGGUCCACUGCCGUAAAACCCCCCAACUUUUUAUAGUUGACCUCGAAUCAGGUAGGACUACCCGCUGAACUUAAGCAUAUCAAUAAGCGGAGGA